GAAAGAGAUAGGUGUUGUGGUGUGUUGGGAGACAGGGAGAGAUGUUGUGGUGUGUUUUGAUGUGGAGAGAGGUGUUGUGGUGUGUUGGGAGACAUAGAGAGGUGUUGUGGAUUGUUGGGAGACAGAGAGAGGUGUUGUGGUGUGUUGGGAGACAGGGAGAGGUGUUGUGGUGUGUUUUGAUGUGGAGAGAGGUGUUGUGGUGUGUUGGGAGACAUAGAGAGGUGUUGUGGUGUGUUUUGAUGUGGAGAGAGGUGUUGUGGUGUGUUGGGAGACAUAGAGAGGUGUUGUGGAUUGUUGGGAGACAGAGAGAGGUCUUGUGGUGUGUUGGGAGACAUAGAUAGGUGUUGUGGUGUGUUGGGAUACAUAGAGAUUUGUUGUGGUGUGUUUGGAGACAUAGAGAGGUGUUGUUGUGUGUUUGGAGACAUAGAGAG
rnacentral:lncRNA from 1 species